CCCCGCCUGUGGGCGGUGCGCGGCGUCCCCUCGCCGGGUAGGCGGGGCGCGGCGCGCGGGAAGGAGGCUGUGGACCCUGGGCUGCGAGCCGACUGGCGGGACCGCGGGCUGAGGAGAGAAGGCCGGGGAAGCGGCCGUGGAGCGCGUGUCCUCUGGCCCUCCCGAGCAGCCCUGCAAGUGCCGUCCUGUCCUUGCCAUUGAGGGCGCGGCUUGAAGAUGCGCUUCCUGCCUGGAAGUCCCUCGCGUGUUUGGAGAAGAGGCAGGGCAGGCCCCCGUGAACGCUGCACGAGAAGCGAAGGCCUCUCUGCUCAAGCCCAGUGGACGGAAGCCCGGAGCCUGCCAGCACCUCAGGACGGACUGUCACAGUGUUUGGGUCCCGUCCUGUGCCUGGAAGGAAAUCAUUGACCGUUCAUGGUCUGCUCUGCCGGACACACUGUCCCCGGCUCGCUGUGUCCCCGUCAUAAGACCCCCAUCUUGGAAAGGGUCCUGCUCUAUACCUGGGGGAAAGGAAUGCUGCACAGAGAGACCAAGAAGAAUCUAGACAGACGGUGCUGGGUUUCCCCACGCAGGCUGUUCACAUUAGAUCAUACUUUUCUUGUCCAGUCACAUUUCUGCAUGGCUGUGCCUGCUUCAUAGAACCUGAGCAUGAAAAUGGACAGUUUCUCCGAAGGCUACCAUGUCACAUGAAACUGAUAAUAAUAAAAAUUAUAUGCCUUUUCUUCA